GAUGAACGCUGGCGGCGUGCUUAACACAUGCAAGUCGAACGGAAAGGCUCCUGCUUGCAGGGGUACUCGAGUGGCGAACGGGUGAGUAACACGUGGGUGAUCUGCCCUGCACUUCGGGAUAAGCCUGGGAAACUGGGUCUAAUACCGGAUAGGACCACAUUUUGGAUGGUGUGGUGGAAAGUUUUUCGGUGUGGGAUGAGCUCGCGGCCUAUCAGCUUGUUGGUGGGGUAAUGGCCUACCAAGGCGUCGACGGGUAGCCGGCCUGAGAGGGUGUACGGCCACAUUGGGACUGAGAUACGGCCCAGACUCCUACGGGAGGCAGCAGUGGGGAAUAUUGCACAAUGGGCGCAAGCCUGAUGCAGCGACGCCACGUGGGGGAUGACGGCCUUCGGGUUGUAAACUCCUUUCGCUAGGGACGAAGCGUUUUUGUGACGGUACCUGGAGAAGAAGCACCGGCUAACUACGUG
rnacentral:rRNA from 1 species